AGAGUCCUUGUUGUGAAGGGCUAUCCUGUGCAUUGUAGGAAGUUUAACGGCAUCCCUGGACGCGAAACACUGGCUGCCAGUAACACCUCCCCCUCCCAGUUGUGUUUCCCAGAAGGUAAAUAGCCCCUGGUUGAAACCCCUGUUCUCCUUUUCUCUCCCUCUUCAUACCCACAACAUCCCCCCCCCGACACACACACACACACACACACACACACUAGCUCUUUGAAGGGACAGAUUUUUUUUUUUCACUAAAAUGACCAAUCGUAUGCCUGACGCUUAGGUGGUUCUGCACAUUUGGCUCUGAAAGAAAUUCUUCUCCAUCUGAAAAUUAGCUAGCUGUUUCUUUAAAGAUAGAACUUGCGCUUGUGUCAAUUCUUAGGCCUGUGCAAAAGCUUGAAACCAUCUGGAGUUAAACCAGCCCCCAAACAUGGCAUACCUGCCCUGAAACUUAUAGAUGGAAAGUCAGGGGGGAGGGGGAAUGGGAUGAGGGAAUCAUCUCAACUUUAUAAAAAUAAAAUCUUAGAAUUAAAUUGUUUUUAGCUUCUGAACAAUUCUGGCUUAUGGAUUGCAUUUCAAGGCAGUAAUAAAUGCUUCUUUCAGUGGUUUUCUACUCCGCAUAAUGGCACAGGGUCAGAACACCAGCACGGAAGUCCUAGAUGCAGAAAGGCAGUUUACGGAUUAGUUGUUCUGAUGCCAAAUGAGAAGGGUCUGGCUUCACCAGGGUCUCGUGUGAAUGACAGCCAUCUUCCUUCUCGAGUGGGAUUUUUUUUUUUUUAAUGCAUCAAUGCAAAUUAUUUCAGAAUGUGUGACUUUCCCAGAAGUUGCAGCAUUUCUGGCUCAUCAUGUGUACUAACCUACUGAACUCCAAGUAGUGGUCCUCAAGGCCCGAGUGUGAAAAAGUUCUGAUUCUUGAAUUCAAGUGGCUUUCACACCAUUUUAGAAGACAAAAACCUGAUGCAGUAUAUCCUCUGAAGAUUUUCUUUAUUUUCACUGAGAAGUCAGUUUCUCCCUCCCUGAGGUAAUUCUGUACUGAGUAACAUUUCUAUUUUGCACUUUUCCAACUCUACUGUCACAUAUUCGUUUAUCUGUCUGUGUCUCUGUGACGGCUAGAGAGAUGAUGUGUUCAAAUUUAUAUUUUCCGUGUCUUGCAAGGGUCUUGGCAUGGGGUCGGCGGACCUCUCCUCUGUGUUUAAUGAUAGACAACACUAGAGGCUUUCUGUAGCUCUUUAUUCUUUCUUGAGCUUUCUUGGAGUCCCUGUCACUCUUUCUUUCCUCUCUGACCUCACUUACCUUUUUUUCUUUGUUUCCUUGGUCCGUCCUACCCUACAAGACUCUUGGAUACUAGAGUUCUGUGGAGAUUUGUCUUUGACUCUCAAUUUUUACUUAUUUUACAUAAUUUCCCUAAGUGAUCUAAUAUUUUCAUUGGUUUAAACCAUAGAGACUGUUGAUUCUCAAGUCUACUACCCUCCGUCCUAACUUCUUUCCCAAGCUUUAGGCUCUUGAGCAGUUUGCUGCAUAUAUCCACCCAGCACCCCAAAGAAAGUUCAAUUCAACACAUUCAAAACUUGGUGAAUAUUAUUAUCUUUUCCUCCACCACAGUCAACUUUAGUAUUCUACAUCUCAGUGGAUAGCUCUAUCAUCUUCCUCACCAUUCAGUCUGGAAACAUGAGGGCCAUCAUUAAUUUUUUCCUCCUACCUCCUGUUUCCCAACCCUACCUUGGGUUUUCCAGCAAAUUCUGCUGCUUUUGCCCUUGCGAUUUUGUUGUUGUUUUUGUUUUUUAAGGCCGUCAUCCUUCUCUGUAUCAUUACUGUCCUAGUACAUGUCCUCAUCAUCUUUCAAUAGUCUCUUACCUCAUCAUCUUUCAACAGUCUCUUACUCCCUGACUCCAGUAUUGCUUAAGAUUAGCCUCAUUGCAGCCAGGAUGACUUAGCUAAAAAGUAAGUCCAGGGAGUUCCCGUCACGGCUCAGUGGAAACGCAUCCAUCUAGUAUCCAUGAGGUUGUGGGUUCGAUCCCUGGCCUCUCUCAGUGCGUUAAGGAUCCUGCGUUGCUGUGGCUGGGGUGUAAGCUGGCAGCUGCAGCUCCAAUUUGACCCCUAGCUUGGGAACUUCCAUAUGCCAUGGGGGCGGCCCUAAAAAGCAAAAGUAAAAUAUAAUAAAAACAAAAGUAAAAUAAAAUAAAAAGUAAGUCCAACUAUGAAGCCUACCUCCUGCUUCUGAAAACUGCUUUUCUGUGGAAUAAAGCCAUUCUAUUUCUCUCACUUGUUAUGACUUGUUCCAGUUCCUAUUGCUGUGUAACAAGUACCCUAUAAUUUGAUAGCUUAAAUUAGCCCUCCUACCAUGCUUACAGAUUCUGUGGGUCAGGGGUUCAGAUAGGACCCAGAAGGGAUGGCUUUUCUCUGAUCCACAUUCUGGGGAUUCAGUUGGGAAGACUUAAUGGCUAAGGUGACUAGAGGGGCUGGUGGCUAGAAUCAUCUAAAGGCUCAGCUCAUAUCUAUGUUAGAAUGACUCAAAAGCAAUCCGAGUGCGUAUAUGUGGGUUGGUUGUUUCAUGGCAUGGAGGCCUUGUGGUUUUGGGCUUCUUAGAAUGUGGUUCAGGGCUCUGAGUAUGAGUGUUCCAGUGAACAAGGUGGAAGCCACAUGGCCUUAUAUGACCCAGCCUUGUGCAUCACACAAAAUCACUUUAGCAGUUCUCUCUUUGUGAAAGCAAUCAUAGGGCAUAGUGUAAUAACGAAUAUUUAUGGUCUUUGUCCCUGAUUCCUGGCACAGAAUUUCAAAAAUCUUUGGAAUUUUCAGAGUGAUCAGAGUGCAUUUUGUUAUUCGUAAUGACCACUCUUUGACCAUAUCUGAAUUUAUGCAGUGGGACAACUUCUACUAGGGCCUCUAGGUGGCUUUAGUGCUGGGGCUGAUUGACAAAAAAAACUCCAACCAUGUUAUGAGAGGGUUGGACUUUCAGUCCCACCUCCUGGCCUCCACGGAGGUUAGAGGAAUGAGAGAGCUUUUUGGUUGGUGAACAUAUUGAUGUACUGAGAGGGUAACAUACUCUGACUUCAUGGGGCCAGAAGCUCCUGUGCUUGGGAUCUUUACGCCUGGAACAUGUUUAAUUGGCUGUUCAUUUGUAUUCUUUAUAAUAAAAUGGUAAUUUAAGUAUAGCACUUCCUUGGUAGUUCCUGUUGUGGCUCAGCAGAUUAAUAAUCUGAUAUAGUAUCCAUGAGGAUGCGGGUUCGAUCCCUGGCCUUGCUCAGUGGGUUAAGGAUCCAGUCUUGUCACAAGCUGUGGCAUAGGUCGCAGGUGUGGCUUGGAUCCCACGUUGCUGUGGCUGUGGUGUAGACAGGCAGCUAUAGCUCUGAUUCGACCCCCUAGCCCGGGAACUUUUUAAGGUGUGGCCUUAAAAAAUAAUAUAUCUUAUAUUUUAUAUAUCACUUUUUUGAGUUUUAUGAGUUGUUCUAGCAAAUUAUAGAAACUACAAGGAGUCAGGGGAACAUCAGAAUUUGUAGCCAAGCCUAUAGGUCAGAAAGUAUGGUAGUUCCCAGUACUUGUAGCUGGGCUCCAAGGUGGGGACCGUCUCCUAGCACUGAGCCUCUAAACCAAUGGGAUUUGUGCUAAAUCUGUGUAAUUAAUUAUCUGAAUUUAAUUGAAUUGUAGGAUACCUUGCUGACUUUCGAAAAUUGAUAUUGGAAAGCACAACCCCACCCAAAUUCAAGGUUAGAGGACAUAGACUCCCACCGUUUGACAAAUAUGAAUACUCUUUUAUGUUUUUUCCAGCUUUGUUGAGGUAUAAUUGACAACUUGCACUACAAUUUAUAAAGUAUACAAUGUGAUAAUUUGAUAAUGUGUAUGUAUAUAUUGUGAAACAAUUUCUACCAUCACCUCACGUAUUUUUCCACUUUUUUAUUCCUGCGAGAACACUGAAGUUCUACUUUUUUUAAACAAAUUUCAAUUAUACAAUACUGUAUUGUCAACUGUAAUCACAAUAUUAUACCUUACAUCCUCAGACCUUAUUUAUUUUAUAACUGAGAGUUUUACCAUCUUCUCUGUCUUUCCCCCAUUCUCCCUCUCCUGGCAACCACCAUUCGACUCUUUGUUUCUAUGAGUUCAACUCCCCCCCCCCAGAUUCUACAUAUAAGUGAUACCAUUCAGUAUUUAUUUUUCUGUUUGGAUUAUUUCACUUAGCAUAAGGCUGUCCAGUUCACUUAACAUAAUGUUAUUGCAAAUGGUAAGAUUUUCUUCUUUUUCAAGACUGAAUAAUAUUCCUCUGUGUGUGUGUGUUUAUCAGUCACAUUUUCUUUAUCCACUCAUCUGCUGACACAUUUAUGUUGACUCCAUAACUUGGCGAUUUUGAGUGAUGCUGCAGUGAACAAUGGAAUAUAGCUCUCUCUUCAGGAUAGUAAUUCUGUUUCCUUUAGAUUUGUAUCUGAGACCGGGAGUCUCAGAAUGAUCAUGUGGUAGUUCUGUUUUUAAGUUGAAGAACCUCCAUACUGUUUUCCAUAGUGGCUGUACCAGUUUACAUUUCCACCAACAGUAUACAAGUGUUCUCUUUUCUCUACAUUCUCCCCAUCAUUUCUUUCUUGUGUUUUUAAUGAUAUUCACCCUAAUAGGUAUGAGGUGAUAUCUUUUUGUGGUUUUGAUGUGCAUUUUCUUGAUAUUAGUGAUGUUGAUCACAUUUUUGUACCUGUUGGUUAUUUUUAUGUCUUUUUUUUUUUUUUUUUGGAAAAAUGUCUAUUCAGGUCCUUUGCCCAUUUUAAAUUACUUGCUCUUUCUUGCUAUUGAGAUGAAUUAGUCCUAGAUAUAUUUGGAUAUUAUAUGAUAUUUGGGUUGCAAUUUUUUAUCCCAUUUCUUAAGUUGCUUUCUCAUUUUGUUGAUAAUCCCCUUUGCUGUGUAGAAGCUAGUUAGUUUGUUGUAGUAUUGUUUAUUUUGGGUUUUAAUGCUUUUGUUUUUAAUGUCAAAUCAAAAUUAUUGCUAAGACCAAAGUCAAGGAGCAUACGCAUAUGUUUUAUUCUAGGAGUUUCGUGCUUUCAUGUCUUAUGUCCAAGUCUUUAAGCCAUUUUGAGUUGAUUUCUGUGUAUGGUGUAGUCCAGUUUCCUUCAUUUAUAUGUGGCUUCUGGUUUUCUCAACAUUGUUUAUUGAAGAGACUGUCUUUUCUCCAUUGUAUAUUUUUGGCCCCUUUGUUGUAGCUUAAUUGACUAUAUUUGCAUGGUUUAUUUAUGGGCUAGUCUCUAUUCUGUUCCACUGAUCUAUAUGUCUGUUUUUAUGCAAAUACGAUACUGUUUUGAUUCCUGUUGCUCUAUAACAUGGUUUGAAAUCACAAAGAAUGAUAACCCCAGCUUUCUUCUUUUUUCUCAAGAUUGAUUUGACUAUUUGGAGUCUUAUGUGGUUCCAUAACAAUUUUAGGGGUGUUAGUUCUAUUUCUGUGAAAAAUGUCAUUGCAAUUUUGUUAGGGACUUCAUUGAAUCUGUGGAUUGCUUUGGGUGAUGUAAACAUUUUAACAAUACUAAGUAAUUCUUUCAGUCCAUGAGCAUGGAAUAUCUUUUUAUUUAUUUGGGAAUUCUUCACUUUCUUUCAUCAAUAUCUUAUACUUUUCAGUGUACACAUAUGUCACUUCCUUGGUUAAAUUUAUUCCUAGGUACUUUAUUUUUUCUGAUAUAUUUAUAAAUGGAAUUUAUUUCUGGGCUCACUAUAGAUAGAAUAUCUUUUCUGUCUUUUCAUUUUCUUCUUUUUUUUUCUUUUUAGGGCCAUACCCAUGACAUUUGGAAGUUCCUGGGCUACAGGUUGAAUCAGGGCAGCAACUGCAGGCCCAUGCCUGAGCCAAGGCAAUGCCAGAUACAAGCCACAUCUGUGACCUAUGCAACACUGGAUCCUCAACCCACUAAGUGAGACCAGGGAUCAAACCUGCAUCCUCAUGGACACAGUGUCAGGUUAGGCCACAACGGGAACUCCAGUAUCCUUUUUGUCUUUAUUUACAUGGUUAAUGGAGGACAAGGACCAUGUCAUCUCUCUUUAUACUCCCAGUAAAAUUUAAUGAAAGGCAAAAGUAAAUCAUAAUUUUGUUUCUUUGUAGUUGGAUGUUUAGGACUUUGUGAUUUAAAUUUGAAGUGUUAUGCUACAAAUACCUUUAAUGAAAAUCAUGGACUUGAAGAAUAGAUUUGUGGUUGCCAAGGGGGAGGGGGAGGGAGUGGGAUGGAUUGGGAACUUGGGGUUAGUAGAUGCAGACUAUUGCCUUUGGAAUGCAUUAGCAGUGAAAUCCUGCUGUGUAGCUCUGGGAACUAUGUCUAGUCACUUAUGAUGGAGCAUGAUAAUGUGAGAAAAAAAAAUCUAUACAUGUAUGUGUACCUAGGUCACCAUGCUGUAUAGUAGAAAAUUGACAGAACACAGUAAACCAGUUAUAAUGGAAAAAA
ensembl:lncRNA